ensembl:ncRNA F56D1.14 ncRNA
AAUUUGUCGAUUUUUCAAUGGUUUCACUCAAAUUCCGAUCAAUUUAGCGACUCGUAUAUUACAAAAAAUGAAAAAUUUAAUAGAAUAUAGUUUUUUAAUGACCACCAAGUGUUUAUCACCCAUAAAAAGUGUGAACGGGGACCAUAAA